rnacentral:sRNA from 1 species
CACCGUUAAGAUGGCGGCUGGGCUGCGGAAACGCGGCCGGUCCGGUUCCGCGGCCCAGGCAGCGGGACUCUGCAAGCAAUGGCUGCAGCGCGCCUGGCAAGAUCGGCGCCUGCUGCUGCGGGAGCCGCGCUACACGCUGCUGGUGGCCGCCUGCCUCUGCCUGGCGGAGACACAGAGAUUGACUGGAAGGCCUACAUGGCCGAGGUAGAAGGCGUCAUCAAUGGUACCUAUGACUAUACCCAACUGCGGGGUGACACCGGACCACUUGUGUACCCAGCUGGUUUCGUGUACAUCUUUAUGGGGUUGUACUAUGCCACCAGCCGAGGCACUGACAUCCGCAUGGCCCAGAACAUCUUUGCUGUGCUCUACCUGGCUACCUUGCUGCUUGUCUUCUUGAUCUAUCACCAGACCUGCAAGGUACCUCCCUUCGUCUUUUUCUUCAUGUGCUGCGCCUCUUACCGUGUCCACUCCAUCUUUGUGCUGCGGCUCUUCAAUGACCCAGUGGCUAUGGUGCUGCUCUUCCUCAGUAUCAACCUCCUGCUGGCCCAGCGCUGGGGCUGGGGCUGCUGCUUUUUCAGGUCAACACCUCUUCCUUCUGGCCCCCUCUCGUUUUCUGCAUUUCCAUCUCUUCCCAAUUUCCUGCAGCAGAUGGAGUAAAGGAGUAGCCAAGACAGCGUGGGUCACUCAGGGCUCCACAAAGCGAGUCCAGGAUCUAUAGAAAGUUUCUGCCCUGCCAUCCCCCAACAUACACACAUGCCCUCUUUCCAUCCUGUCUUCCUCCCAGACAGCAUUCCUUGUUGGAAUUAGUCCUUCACAUUCUAAAUACUCAGUAUAUGCUCAUUCGCAUAUAGUAGGCAUAGAGACUAUGCAUCUGCCUCCUGCCUACUCCAGGCUCUUCCCUCCAACAGUUGUGAGUGUAGGUCCCAUCCUGGAGUUUGCUGGCGUGGCGGCAGGGGGAGGUUGCUGUGGUGAUGGUGGGAGGUAUGUCUUUGGGUGUUGUGUGCACGGCCCUGAA